CAGUCGCCGCGGUAAUACGAAGGGUGCAAGCGUUAAUCGGAAUUACUGGGCGUAAAACGUGCGUAGGCGGUUUGUUAAGUCUGUUGUGAAAUCCCCGGGCUCAACCUGGGAAUGGCAAUGGAUACUGGCAAGCUAGAGUGUGUCAGAGGAUGGUGGAAUUCCCGGUGUAGCGGUGAAAUGCGUAGAGAUCGGGAGGAACAUCAGUGGCGAAGGCGGCCAUCUGGGACAACACUGACGCUGAGGCACGAAAGCGUGGGGAGCAAACAGGAUUAGAUACCCCUGUAGUCCCUGUCUCUUAUAC
rnacentral:rRNA from 1 species